GGACUACCGGGGUAUCUAAUCCCAUUCGCGACCCACGCUUUCGUGUUUCAGCGUCAGGAGCGGACCAGUCUCUUGCCUUCGCUUUUGGUGUUCCCCUAGAUAUCAACGCAUUUCACCGCUACACCUAGAGUUCCAGAGACCUCUUCCGUCCUCUUAGUCAUGCCGUUUCCCGCGCGGACUCUCGGUUGAGCCGAAAGAUUUUACGCGAGACUAACAUAACCGCCUACACACCCUUUACGCCCAAUGAUUCCGGAUAACGCUUGAAGCACUCGUAUUACCGCGGCUGCUGGCAC
rnacentral:rRNA from 1 species